CCCAGAGUCUGCCCCACCCACUGCAGCACUGAUUUAAUCCAGCUCAUCCAGAGCAGGCAGCUUGCCCUAGGGACUGGCCCCACACAACAGCAAGCCUUCAGGGAACUUGUGGGCCUGCAUAGGCUGGGUGCCUAGAUUCUCUGCAGCAGGGGAUUCCGAGUAACUUUCUUGUGUUCACAAAGAAAGUAAGCAGGAGAACAAGGAAAAACUCAUUCCAUGGGCUUCUGAAAUCCCACCUGGAGAUUUGGGCCCCCUAAGCAAUUGAACGUUUUCUCUGUGUGGACAUCCACCAGUCAAUGGCACUGCACCGUCAAACACAUGACAGAGAAGUUUGCAACAGGAGACUUGAGUGUAUGUGGUCUUUCAAGUUCUCUUGGCAUCCGAAAGUUGGCAUCUGCUCCCUUAUACACAUCAUCCUCGCCAUUAAACAUAGUGCAAGCGAUUAAAGCUGCUAGGGUAAAAAACAAGUUUCAGUAUAACUAAAAUGGGAUUUCUUUUACUAACUAAAAUAAAGGAGAAUGUAAUAAAGUACUUUUGGAGAAAUAUUUUGUUCUAUAUUUUAAGAGAAAUGUAUGAGGGAUUGAAGAAAAAAUGAUCAUUAUAAGAAUAAGUUUUGAACUGUUUGAGCUACAGAAACGUGUCUUUUUGGCCUUUUUAUUUAGCCAUUUGUCUCAACAGACGUAAAACUUUUUAAAAAUAUGUUUAUGAUUAAAUUUUCAUAAUAUGAAAAUGGCGUGGGGACUAUAAAGAUGAAUAUGGAAAAACUUACAUGUAUUUGGCAUUACAAUAUGCCUGAGUGCUUUACAUAUCUUAUCUGGUUUGAUUCUCACACACACAUAGGGAUAAAGAAGCAAACUUAGAAAAGUAACAGUUGGUAGUGGGACAUGGAGAUGAGGCUAGGUCUGCCUGAUCUUAAACUUCCCAGCUCCCAGAACUGUGAGAAACAAGUUUCUCCCGUUGAAGACACUCAGUCUAUGGUUUUCCAUCAUAGCAGCCCGAGCUGACCAAGACACUCUCCCUGCUCUGCAGCCUGGAAACUCUCUUCAAUAGCCUGGAAAAUCACAGAUCUCAUCUCACUUGUCUUACUUCUCUCAAGGAUCACUGUCCAGCUCUGCCUUUUGUCAAUGUCUGAAAACCGUUAGUUGUUCCAUAUAUUUUGUCUAGCUUUUCAGUUCUUGAAUGAAAUAGGAUAAAUUAGUUCCUGAUACGCCAAUGAUAGCCAGAAGCAAAAGAUGACAGGUUGAACUUUACAAGCUUCCAUUAUCACAAUCAAGACAGCUCUAUUCUUUUGUGUCAAAAUGCACCCUAGACAUUUUAGUUUUCUCUGAACACUUCGUUUAACUUAUCUAAAGUCAUGUAGGCCAGGUUUUUCCCUUAGGAGCAAAGACCUGCUCCCUGGGGGCUCUGCAUUCCUGGAUACAUAAUGGGUGUGGUCAUUUUAUUUGGUUCAGUGAUCUGCAGUACACAUUUAUUGACCUUCAAUUAAUCCUCUGGUUUUCAGUCCCACUUUUCCCUCCUGCCUCUUGCUUUACCUGCUGCCUCUCAGCUCAGAGACUCUCCAGAGUUCUUUGAAGUGAAUUGGCUUCCCCUCACUUUGUAGCUUCUUCUGAGCAUUCUCAAGGCUUCAGUGUCUCUGCCUGCUCCGUCUAUUAACCUGCCUGUUUUCUUAUUUCCAAAGGUGGGUUAAGAUGUUUCAUUCAUUCUCAUUCUUUCAGUGUUUAUUUUUUUCUCCAUUUCUUUUAAUUUGUGAGGGGAGGUGGUACAUUUUGGUGAUGCAGAAUGUAAAGCGUGUGCCCAUCCAUUAUCAUCUCUUGGCUUUUCAAAAUAGACUCCCUUCAAUUUGUGUCACACCACUGAUUUUUUCUACUUUAGGGGAGUUUAAAUUUAUUACUGUUUACAAAUUUUAUUUUCACGUUUCUUUACGGAUUGGAAUGGAUGCCUAUUUCCAUCUAAGAUGAUUUCAUUCUUGUUUCCUGUGUCAUGCUUUUCACUUAUGAUAUAAAGUGCUUGUGCUGCAUUGGAUUACCCACUGAGAUAUCCUGGGAAUCCAACUUUUCUGACCCCAAUCCCAACACCCUCACCUCCUCCAGUAACCAGCUGUUCUUAUUCUCAUACUCAGGGGAUAUAUCAUCUGGGUAAAUAAAUUUAUGGAUCCUUCUCUCCUCUUGAGCAAGGGCAACUUCCACAUUUUUCAAGCUUCAGCCCCCUUCAGAAACUCAAAUUGAAAUCACAUAUGGUUCCAGUCCCAGAAGAGGUAGGAGUUCUGUCAGCUAGACUGUUUCUGGAAUAAAGGUUUAGACCAUUGAGCCACCUCAAACACUGAUUCUAUGUAAACUGGAGUAAUAGGGUCAAGGAAAUAUUGCUCUGAAAGUCUAGUCAUUCUAAAUCACACCUAAUAAUGACUGCUCACAUUCCAUAAAGUGAGCCCCAAAGAUGAGGACAAUAACUGAAGUUAGGAAGCAAUUCUUAAUUAAACACAAAUCUCAGCUAAUGGCUGUUUUACAAGAAGUAUAUACUUCAACAAUAUGUGGGUUUGUAAAGGUAAAGCCAUAGAAGGGAUAUUUUAUAUGUUUCAUUGAAUUAUUUUUCACCAACAAUCCCAAAGCUAAUUCUUACUCUUUUUCUCUUAGUAAGCUUUGAUAGCUUCUACUUGAACAUUCGAUUACCUUAUCUUUUUUUGUUGUUGUUGCAAAAAUAAGAUGGAUCUGCCCUAUGUGGAAGAAAACAACUAUCCUGAGAUUAUAGCUGAAGGUCCAGCAAUUUGUAAAGUGAGUGCAUCUUAUUGCACCCUCUGCUCUCCUGAUGAGCGAGAAGAUGACAGAUCUAGGUCCAUAGUCCUCUGCCCAGCCUGCAUAUGGGUGUGAAGGGAAAGACUAGGACCAAAACUAUCAGGGUCACAUCCCUUUUCUUAGCUGUGCGAUACUGGGGGAGAGGUACAAACUGAGAAUAGGAGUCAUCACACAGAUAUGCUUCUCCUCUUUUCAUCUUCAGUCUUCACAUCUCUAAUACACCAAGGGAUCAUAAAAUUCUGCAACCACAUAAAAGUACCCUCAGGAAAAAACAUUAAGCUACACUUUCCCUGAGAUAUCUCACCCCUCU
rnacentral:lncRNA from 1 species